rnacentral:lncRNA from 1 species
CCACAGCUAUGGCCAUCUCCUUGUAUGUGAAGAUCUGCACAGACUGCAGCCAACGAGUCCUUAGAUGGCAUGUCUCCAGGCAUAGAAACAUGAGGUCCUGGGAUAAUGUCUUUAUGGGUCUCUCUGGAGAAGCUCAAAGGGCACCUGUUUCAAAGGGCAACUUCCUUCUUGGAUGAAGCAUCUUGUAGAGAAGACAAUCAAUGGCCAAGACCUUUCAGUGGGACAAGAUGUGGAGAUGGAAGACGGUGACAUUGAUGAUCCUGCCCCUGUACAGACCUAGGCUAAUGUGUAUGUUUGUUUUAGUUUUUAACAAAAAAGUUUAAAAAACUUUAAAAGGAGAAAAAAAGCUUGA